AAUCUUCCGCAAUGGACGCACGUCUGACGGAGCAACGCCGCGUGAGCGAUGAAGGUUUUCGGAUCGUAAAACUCUGUUGUUAGAGAAGAACACGUACCGUUUGACUAAGGCGGUACCUUGACGGUACCUAACGAUAAAGCCCCGGCUAACUACUUGCCAGCAGCCGCGGUAAUACGUAGGCGGCAAGCGUUGUCCGGAAUUAUUGGGCGUAAAGCGCGCGCAGGCGGUCUUUUAAGUCUGAUGUGAAAGCCCACGGCUCAACCGUGGAGGGUCAUUGGAAACUGGGAGACUUGAGUGUAGGAGAGGAAAGUGGAAUUCCACGUGUAGCGGUGAAAUGCGUAGAGAUGUGGAGGAACACCGAUGGCGAAGGCAGCCCCCUGGGAUAAUACUGACGCUCAGACACGAAAGCGUGGGGAGCAAACAG
rnacentral:rRNA from 1 species